UACCUGAUUGAUUCUGUCAGCGCUAUAUACUCAGUUAAAAGAUUAAGCCAUCAAUGUCGAGUUCAACUUUAAAAUGAAACUGCGAACGGCUCAUUAGAGCAGAUGUAAUUUAUUCGGAAUUAUUCAAAUGGAUAACUGCGGUAGUUCUGGAGCUAAUAAAUGCGAUAAAACCCUGACUUUUGAAAGAGUGCAAUUAUUAGAGCAAAUCAGUGAUAUUCGGAUGUAUAGUUUGCUGACUCUGAAUAACGCAGCAUAUCGGCGGCAUAGUUCGCCGAUAUUCCGAAAAGGUGUCUGCCCUAUCAACCUGAUGGUAGUCUAUUAGUCUACCAUGGUUAUUACGAGUAACGGAGAAUAAGGGUUCGACUCCGGAGAGGGAGCCUCAGAAACGGCUACCACAUCCAAGGAAGGCAACAGGCGCGAAACUUAUCCAAUCUUGAAGAGAUGAGAUAGUGACUAAAAAUAAUAGACCAUUUCUAUGGAACGGUUUAAUGAGUUGAUCAUAAACGUUUUUUCGAGUAUCGAGUGGAGGGCAAGUCUGGUGCCAGCAGCCGCGGUAAUUCCA
rnacentral:ncRNA from 1 species